rnacentral:hammerhead_ribozyme from 1 species
AUUCAGCUGACGAGUCCCAAACAGGACGAAACGCGCGUCCUAAAU